UGUGUAGGCGGCCUGUUAAGUUCCGUGUGAAAUCUCCCGGCUCAACCGGGAGGGUGCGCGGAAAACUGGCGGGCUAGAGUGCGGGAUGGGAGAGUAGAAUUCCUGGUGUAGCGGUGAAAUGCGUAGAUAUCAGGAGGAAUACCGGUGGUGUAGACGGCUCUCUGGACCGCAACUGACGCUGAGACACGAAAGCGUGGGUAGCAAACAGGAUUAGAUACCCUGGUAGUCCACGCCCUAAACGAUGCAUAUUUGGUGUAGGUCAUUCAGUUGAUCUGUGCCGGAGCUAACGCGUUAAAUAUGCCGCCUGGGGAGUACAGUCGCAAGGCUGAA
rnacentral:rRNA from 1 species